UACGAAGGGGGCUAGCGUUGUUCGGAUUUACUGGGCGUAAAGCGCACGUAGGCGGAUCGUUAAGUCGGGGGUGAAAUCCUGGAGCUCAACUCCAGAACUGCCUUCGAUACUGGCGAUCUCGAGUCCGGAAGAGGUGAGUGGAACUCCUAGUGUAGAGGUGGAAUUCGUAGAUAUUAGGAAGAACACCAGUGGCGAAGGCGGCUCACUGGUCCGGUACUGACGCUGAGGCACGAAGGUCAGGGGAGCAAACGGG
rnacentral:rRNA from 1 species